AUGGCUUAUAUCUUCAACUUAGCUAAUUCUCUUUCUUUACGUUUAUUCAUUUUAAUGAUAGUCACUGUUACUUUGUUCAUGCAGCUGGCUACAACUAGUGCAGAUACGAAGAUCAGAAAUCUAGGAAACUUUCCCAAUCCACCUCCUCCACCGUGUCGUAACGUUGGCAAUUCUCCUUGUUUUGAUCAUGUGUAA